GGUUUUUUUAAGGAGGGAGAUGUGGUAGGCACACAUAUCAAGUACCCACUGUACCCACAUAUCAAGCUUUUAAAAUACAAACACGUUGUAGCACUCUGUUGCCGUGUGGAAAUAAACAGUUCAGCCCCAGUGCAGGCCACCAUGCAUAAUUGCAUGGUAAGCGUUGUGUGCAUAUAGCACUUCUUCCCCUCCAGCGCCGCCGUUUGGCGACAACUCCAACAUAUAAAAUAUACAUAUAAGCGCCUCUGCGCUGCCGGCGUAGUCUCCCCCUUGUUUUGAAGCAUCUUAACACUUUUUACCACGCCCAUAAACCGGCUCCAGCUGCAUUGUAGUAAUCGACAGUGAGCAGCUGUAACAGGGUCGCAAUCCACGCGUUCUAAUCGAGUGUGGUCUAGAAAGUUAUUAAAAAGCGGUGACAUAGUGCUUCUCCUCACGAGGAAACAUUUUCUUGAUUUAGUUAAGUUGGCGAAAGGCAAGGGAGUGUACAGAGUAGCACCCCUUCAGACGCAGCGGACAAGACGGCCUCUCUGCGCUCAACGGACUACGCGUUCCAGCAGCAGCAGAGCCGUUAUCGCUCGGCGGUUGCCGAUUUCUUUUCUUGUGCGUCUAGGGGAGCAGCCCGGCGGCUAAGGAAGUCGCCGUCCAGCGGAGCACCUCUGUACAGCGGAGCACCUCCGUUCAGCCGAGCCCCUCUGUCCAGCGGAGCAUCCUCUACGACCAGCGGAGCACCGAAUUUUAUAAAUCUGUAGCAGUCUCUAGCCAGAGAGUACCAGUAAAAAAUAGUGAGAGUGUAGUCCUUCAGUGUUGUCAGUGCAGCCGACCAUGGCAGAUUUAAGGUUUAAGAUCGUGCCCGAGCGCAUUUUAUUACGGUGUUAGAGUGAAUAUCGUGAUUAACCCUGCAUGUUUCCCUCGAAAUAGAGACGGAAAUUUAUUAAAUGCAAGCUACACAUUAUAAAUAAAUGUAAAUUAUAAUUAAAUUAU